CGUAAAGAGAAGCGAAGCGGUGACGUGGAGCAAACCUCAGAAAGCCAAUCUCAGUUCGGAUUGUAGGCUGCAACUCGCCUACAUGAAGUUGGAAUCGCUAGUAAUCGCGAAUCAGAAUGUCGCGGUGAAUACGUUCCCGGGUCUUGUACACACCGCCCGUCACACCACGAGAGUUUACAACACCCGAAGUCAGUGGCCUAACCGCAAGGAGGGAGCUGCCUAAGGUGGGGUAGAUGAUUGGGGUGAAGUCGUAACAAGGUAGC
rnacentral:rRNA from 1 species